CGUUUAUUCUCUUUGCUGCUAAUAUUGCAGUUAACUUUGGACUUUUGAGACAAAAUAACUGUCUAGUUUUUAGCUCUCAAGGUUGUCUUUCUGAUAACAGUAAUCUCCUGAAAGAAUAGGGGGAGAAAACCAAUGGCUUAGCGGAAAAGCAAAUGCUUUGCACUUAAAAGAGCACAGGUUCAAUCCCAUGCAUCUUUGGAUAGGCAUGGAAAUAUUUCUGCUUUAAACCCCCCAAGACCAUUAUUCUUAUAAACUGCACCAUCCCACACUUGGAUUCUCCUUUGACUGCCAUGAUGCCAUCCUGUGAAAUGUUGAGAUUUGACAUUUAGGGAGAGUUAGUUAGAAUUCUAAGCCGAAUUGCUUUUGUGUGGUUGUCUCAAGCUUUGAUCUGCUGGAUCUUUGGACUUUCGGCUCUUGGAAUUCCUGACCAUUGGCUGACAGGGCUUUUGGAACUUGAAAUCCAAAAUAUUUGGAGGGUUAAACCUCAAGUGCCUUCCCAAACUAUGAACCCCAGGAUCGCAUAGUAUGCAGCCAUGAUAGUGCUAUAGUUCUGUAACAUGAAAGAAUCAAAAGAGCAGGCAACACAGAGCAUUUAGGGCAAUUGUUGUGGUUGCAGUUGGAGAGAUGUGCCAAGGAGGGAUUUACUAGGGAAACAGAUUUUACAGAAUUUAGCCCCACUUGAGCUAUUUCAGGCCCAGUAUGGACUUUAUUUCCCAAAAGAGAAGUGACUUGUGUUUGGCAAGGAGACAAGCCACAAGAAAAUUGCCUCCAGAACCCUAAAAAGAUACAAUGGACAUUUUGAACACUAAAUAAAUAAAGUUACAGUCUUCCAAGUUACAGUGACGAUUGCCCAUCUCUGUUGUAGACAGUACUGAGUCAGAGAGACUGACUUGAUUGAUGUAAGGUAACUUGCUGUGGUCCCCAGAAGGAGUAGGCUUGUUUUCUGCUGCUCUGUAGACCAGAUUGGAAGCAAUAGAUUCAGAUUACCGGAAAGGAGAUUCCACCUGAACAUUAGCAAGAACUUCCUGACUGUAAGAGCUAUUCAGCAGUGGAACUCUCUGCCUCGGAGUGUGAUGGAAGCUUCUUCCUUAGAGGCCAUCUGUCAGGGGUUACUUUGAUUGUGUUUUUUUUCCUGUAUGGCAGGGGGUUGGACUAGAUGGCCCAUGAGGUUUCUUCCAACUUGAUUAUUAUAUGAUUCUAGGAACUGUUAAGUGGCUAGAGGUAGCAGUGGAUAUGUCCUGUUUCCUUUAUAGUUUUCCAAGGGACAUAAACACAGUGGAGAUACUAACCAGCUGCUAUAAAUCACUACUGACCAAGAGGUCAUGAGUUCGAAGCCCAGGUCGGGUUAAGCCUCCGACCAUUAAUAGCCCCGGCUUGCUGUUGACCUAUGCAGCCCUGAAAGACAGUUGCACCUGUCAGUUAGGGAAAUUUAGGGACACUUUAUGCGGGAGGCUAAUUUACAACACCAUAAAACUGCCAGCAAAACACGAGGAAAGGAAUGAGGAAGUACAGCCACUACUGGAUGGUGAAGCAACAGCUCCCCCUGUGGCCGGAAUCGUGAAGCUGGAAAAAUGUUAAAAAAAUGCCUCUGAGUCUGUCUAAUGUAUGUUGUUUGUCUGUUGGCAUUGAAUGUUUGCCAUAUAUGUGUUCAUUGUAAUCCGCCCUGAGUCCCCUUCGGGGUGAGAAGGGCAGAAUAUAAAUACUGUAAAUAAAUAAAUA